UUCUUGCUACAGCUACAGUGGAUCCUGUGAUGCAUUGCGAGGCCUGCAACGGCUUCGAGUUUUAACAUUUUUUAGUUUUAGUCCAGCAAUGAAACGCAUGUUUCUAUCUAAAAUUUUCUUCCUCUGUUGAUCACCAGGUUCCUGAAGCAUUGUAUUUCCAGUUAAAGGAUGUAGUGAUGUUACAGAGGAGUGCGCGGCUGGCCGGCCUAUGUGAUGUUCCUGCCUGCGGCUGCCACCAGGCUGUGCAUGCGGCUUGCUUUGUUCAGGUCCUCUCAAUUUCAGGAGAGGAAGUGAACUCGAUUAAUACUGUCAAUUUGGGAAGCAGUUUUUGUGAUUCUGGUUCAGCAUGGAUAAUGUUGUUUAGCACUGUAAACAUUGUCAUGGUUAAUUUUAGUUACUAGAUGGAACAGCAGUGCUACAAAUUUUAGAACUAGGACGUCGUUUUCCACAGUUCUAUCGUACAGUCACAGUUCUAAGCUUAAUCUUAUUAGUUCUGUAGCAUUGCAGAUCAGGGUCUUUUUUCCUAGAAGAUCAAUACCUUUGGUCAGAUUUAGCUUAUUUGAUAGUGAACAAAACAUAAAUGGUGUGAAUAUAACGAAUAAUUACGCGGUGUGACCUAUCAAAACUAUUAACGUGAAUUUUUCAGUUCUCAUUUUUACACUUUUUAUUCUUCCCUUGAGAUCCACUGUUUGCUCUUCUAACAGUAUAAUACUAGCUGUGCACUUGCAGCCCCUUUCAGUUGAGCUGGGUCCUGGUAUCCUCGGGAACAUUUUUUUAGGGAAUCCAGGCGGAGAUCUAUAUGAUACUGUCUUCGAGAACAUUGCUGACUCUAUUGUAGACUGUCUUCGAGAACAAUUUGAUGAACCAGUGUCGCCCUUCCACCUGGUUCUAAGGGGAAAGUAAAUUACGUCGCUUCAGCUAUUCAAUACAGCCUAUAGGAUACAGUGCUAGAGUUAGAAUUUCAGGGCCUGAAAAAGCAAUUUACUAUGCUUCAGGCAUGGCAUGCGUGUACACCAAGACCUGUUGCAUCAAAGCUUUUUGCGGAUACACCUCUUCUUACAGGACAGCUUUGUGUACAACUUAUAUUUAGCUUCAAUUUCCAUAAUAAAAUGUGUUCUUUUGUUUUAUCAUCAUGGUUUCUCUUCUUACGUAACCAAACAUUCUCAGAUAUUAGUUUCUUAUUGCCCUCCAAGUCCAUUAAAUCUCAGUCUUAUCUAUUUUGUGAUGGUUUCAGCGUGUGCUUGAUGCAUCCCUUGGUUCUUGGAGGAACAUGUGCUAUUCCUGGUGCUUUUGGUUGUGGAAAAACUGUUAUUAGUCACGCACUUUCCAAGUACUCCAGUUCUGAAGCUGUGGUUUAUGUGAGAUGUGGUGAAAGAACAAAUGAGAUGGCUUGGGUUCUCAUGGACUUGCCCCAAUUGACAAUGACGUUCCCCAACAGACGUGAAGAGUUUGUCAUGAAGAGAACAACAUUGGUUUCUAACGCGUCUAACAUGCCUGUCGCUGCUCGUGAAGCCUCCAUUUAUACAGGUAAAGGUGUAAUGCCUUGAUAGCCGUAGAAGUAAAGGGAUUUAUUGAUCAAGCUGGCUCAUUAUAUUAGGGUUCUCUUGAUCUUGCUUACUCAAGUGCUUCACCAAUAGAGCUGCACAACAUGUGUGGUGUGCCAAGCCGUGCUUUCAAGUUGUGUCCUCGGCCCUCCCCGUCGUAAUGCUCGUCUAGCAUGAAGCUUGAAAGUUGAUCCAAACCAACACCAUGUAUUCUUAUGGAUGUAUGAGUCAACUCAUUGUAGGUGGAGCUUUUCUCUUGCGCACAACUUACUUUAUUUUAUGCUUUAUCAGUGUAAUGUCCAGUUUCAUUUGCAAGUAUACCAUUACUCUUCUCAUGGUAUUGCAGAUGCAUCAUGUGUAGCUUUUCAGCCUUGCAAAUUAGAGGUUUAAUUUAUACAUGCAUAUUGUUAGAAUAUUGGUGCGUUCAAAAGACUAUGGGUGGAAUUAAUAAACUGGCAGAAAAUAUGAAA